rnacentral:lncRNA from 1 species
GGUUACUUCUAGGUUUUGGCGGUCGCGCAUGCGCAGAAGCGCUAAAUUGCAACCUGCACAUGUGCAGACACGCCGCUGCGGGUUGCGAACAUGCAUCCCGCACGGAUCACAUUCGCAACCCGAGCGUCCACUGUAUAGAAAUUGAACAAAUAAAAUAAAAUAAAUUCUACUGGAAUUAAGUACCACACUCAGGUAGACAUGUACAGGAUUGCAGCCUUUAUGGAUGAUGUUUCAUGUUUCACUUGCAAAGGAUUAGGCCUUGAAGAUCUACAGAGACUGAUAUGAAAAGCAAGGGUUGCAGACCUUAAAAAACAAAAAACAAAACCUGCCCCUUUCUGUGCUUUAACAGCAUAUUGAUCUUCAGACAUUUGCUGGUGAUGAUUCUUAUUUCACCUGUGGUUUUUCCCUAGAUUAUGCUCCUGUGAAAGUUAACUCUACUUUCAGGCCCUCGGAUUCCUUCCCCUCCCACACCCACAAGGCAGAAGAUUAGAAGCCAGUUAUUUUGGUGCACUCGCCCUGCUAUUUCUGCUCCCACUGAACUUCACGAAGGCAAUCGUGACAUCAUAUUAAAACAGCUG